UGUAGCAUCUCUUAUUACAGGUACACCCUGCCCAGUGUUAUUAUCAACGGCCGCGGUACCCUGACCGUGCAAAGGUAGCAUAAUAAUUUGCCUUUUAAUUGAAGGCUAGUAUGAAGGGGCAAACGAGAACAAGACUGUCUCACUUAUACUCAUAAAAAUUUAUCUUUAGGUGAAGAAGCCUAAAUCUAUAUAAAAGACAAGAAGACCCCGUCGAGCUUUAGCUUAAUAUGCGACUCCUUAAACCUACUAUAUCUCUCCCCGCAUAAAAGCUUUUGUUGGGGCGACAACGGAACCUACUAAUCUUCCGCCACACUUCAGACCCUACGUCACUCAAAUGAUCCUUUACUGAUCAUAAGAACAAGCUACCGCAGGGAUAACAGACUAAUCUUCCUCCGGAGCCCAAAUCUACAGGAAGGCUUGGCACCUCGAUGUUGGCUUAGGAAAAUCCCCUAGAUGAAGCAGUCUAGGAAGUGGGUUUGUUCAACCCUUAAUAUCCUACG
rnacentral:rRNA from 1 species